UUCACUCUCCGCCUACGCAAACGCCAUCCAGACAAGCCCUCAACGCUUAGCCGAGACCGCACUAGCCGUUACCCUAAGCCGAGUUCAAUCCACGAAGCUCUUUGUCUCGCGUCUGACGCGUUUCAAAACACUCAAGAAGCGCGAGGUUGAAGCCAUCAAGGACUGCGUCGAGGAGAUCAACGAUACCAUCGAACGUUUGACCAAGUCGGUCCAGGAGAUGAAGCUAUGUGGUAGUGCCAAGAAUCAAGAACAGUUUGCGUUCCACAUGAGUAAUGCUCAGACUUGGACUAGUGCUGCUUUGACUGAUGAGAACACUUGCUCCGAUGGGUUCUCGGGUCGGUUUAUGGAUGGACGGAUCAAGAACUCGGUUCGGGCUAGAAUCGUUAACAUGGGCCAGGAAACCAGC
rnacentral:lncRNA from 1 species